UACGUAGGUGGCAAGCGUUGUCCGGUUUACUGGGCGUAAAGAGCGCGCAGGCGGUCGUUCAAGUCGCGUGUGAAAGCCCCCGGCUCAACUGGGGAGGGUCACGCGAUACUGAUCGACUCGAAGGCAGGAGAGGGUAGUGGAAUUCCCGGUGUAGUGGUGAAAUGCGUAGAUAUCUGGAGGAACACCGGUGGCGAAGGCGGCAUCCUGGACCAACACUGACACUGAGGAGCGAAAGCCAGGGGAGCAAACGGG
rnacentral:rRNA from 1 species